rnacentral:tRNA from 1 species
AGUGAUGUAGCUCAGUGGUGGAGCACCUGCCUUGCAUGUAUGAAGUGCUGGGUUCAAUCCUAAGCACCAUAU